GACGACGCUGGCGGCGCGCCUAACACAUGCAAGUCGAGCGGAGAUAUACGAAGAGUAAUCCGAGUAUAUCUUAGCGGCGGACGGGUGAGUAACGCGUGAGUGACCUGCCUCUUACAGGGGAAUAACGUGCCGAAAGGCACACUAAUACCGCAUAAGACCACGAAACCGCAUGGUUAUGAGGUCAAAGGAGCAAUCCGGUAAGAGAUGGGCUCGCGUCCGAUUAGAUAGUUGGUGAGGUAACGGCCCACCAAGUCGACGAUCGGUAGCCGACCUGAGAGGGUGAUCGGCCACAUUGGAACUGAGAGACGGUCCAAACUCCUACGGGAGGCAGCAGUGGGGAAUAUUGGGCAAUGGGGGAAACCCUGACCCAGCGACGCCGCGUGAGGGAAGAAGGUUUUCGGAUUGUAAACCUCUGUUCUUGGUGAAGAGGGGAAGACGGUAGCCAAGGAGGAAGCCCCGGCUAACUACGUG
rnacentral:rRNA from 1 species